UCAGAUAACCUGUCUAACAAUAACCUAAGGACCACAGGAGAAAGAAAAUAACAACCUUGUAUGGGUUCAUAAGCUAAUUCAGCCUAAUUGCUAUCUAGGCAUGAAUCAGAACAGUUCAGUUGGAUGGGACCUUUUAAGAUCACAAAGAACAACUUCCUGACCACUUCAGGGCUAACCAAAAUUUGAAGUAUACUACUGAGGACUGUCGAACACUGACAGGCUUGGGGCAUCAGCCACCUCACUGGGAAGCCUGUUCCAAUGUUUGACCACCCUUACAGUGAAGAAAUUUUUCCGAAUAUCCAAUCUGAACAGCUUUCUGCCAUUCCCAUGCAUCCUGCCAUCAGCUCCAAAGGAACACAGUCCAGCACAUCCCUUUCCACUUCCUCUCCUCAGGAAGCCUGAGAGGAAAGAGAUCUCGUAUUACGGAAACCAUUUCACAAACACAAAACCAAAGAUUCUUAAAUAUGGUACAGGGAUACAAAAAUCAGUAGGAGCUUUGUUAAGAUCAGCAUGCCACAGUAUUAGGCCCUAGUUUUGAACAUCCUGGAAAGCAAACAUUUUCCUUGAAAACUCAAAAACUGCUCAAAUAACUUGCCUGGCUGUCCUUGAACAUCAGGAUGCUCCUUUUGAAAUUCUUCUUUCUUUUUAUCCAAUUCUUGUUGAAAGUGUUCAAACUCUUCUUGAUAUUUUUCUUUAUCUUUUUGAGGAAUUUCUGCAUCUGGUGUGGGCUUUAAAACAUUAUCAAAGGUAAGGGGGAAGAGAGAAGAUUUUCUACCACUCCUAUAUGACACACUGUCCAGCAAAUGCUGUCUAGACUUCAGGUCUGAUGGCAUGACAAUUUGUGAAGCGCAUGUAUUAACAUAUGUUAACAAUGUAUUAACGUAGAAGCAAGAAACCAGGCAUUCGCAUGGAAACUCAUGGCUUUUUCCUGAAAAGCCUACUUUCUGCAAUUAUAAAGAAGUCAAGUUUUACAAGAACAGAUGAGGAUUAACAGUACAAAAGUGUUCUACAGGAAUGCAAAGUUGAAAGUGAAAACAAAUUUGUCCAAAGUGUACCUUUGUUUGUUUUCUUUGCAUUUUUUGUUUUAAUAUCAGGAUUAUCAUCGAUUCAGUGUUACUUCAAGAGUUCUGGUCCUAAAUGUAACUAAACUACUGAAAUACUAUAGCAUUGAUCUUAUUUUUCCAAAACAGAUGACUGCACAGCUCCAUGCCAAAAUUUAGAAACAGGGAUGCUAAUUAUGACUGCAGAAAAAAAUGCCAAGAUCUGGUGCUAUACAUAUAUUAGCACAUUUUACUAGUUAUGCAUAGAGACACUUACUACUUCCUUCCCAGGCUCAGUCAACUGGAAA